ACCGCAGGAAGCUCCAGUGUCAGGCUCCUCCUCCUCACUCUUUCGCUUUCACUUUCCCAACAGCAAGGGGAUCUUCCAGUUGCUUAAGAAUUAGAUGGAAAAUGAAAGGGGAGGCUUUCCCCUUUUCCCCAACUGCUGGAACCCGGACUCUAAUAUCUGCACCUGGCCGAGUCUUGUGAGAGACAGACACACCCACACAACAGCACAGAGUCUUGGGGAACAUCUACAGUUGGGAGAGGUGGAGUCAAGAUGGUGUCUUAGACGCAGCAAAAGUCCAGAACUCUCUAAAACCCUUCUACACCCAUCAAAAACAAGGUGCUUCGAGGGGACAGAAAACCAAAUCUAACCGCAAGACAGAGCUGGGAGACCCUCCUGCUGGAUUCAGCUUAAAAGGCAUUUCUCUAGGUUGGGCUUGUACCUGGCCAUUAUUAUGCCUGCUGCUCUCAGCUGUUCCUUGCUUCUCUUUCUUCUGAACUUCAGUUGGAAUCCUCUGCUAAGAAGCUACUUCUUCCCUAUAAAAGGAUAAAGUCAUCAGUCCUAUGAUAAGACAAAAGUAAGGAUGACUGGUGAUGGCCCAGGAUGCAGGGGAUGACGUUGGCAUCUUCAAUAUCUGACCAAGUUCUAAGCCCUCCAUUGCACCUACUUUAGCUGCCUUCAUGACCACUGGAACAAAUGGUUCUCAUCUACCCAUUCUUCUGGAGAAAGUCUUCACUUGCUUGAAGUAGAUACCCCUAACUCACUAACAGGAUGGUCAUCACUGGCAUAUUACAAAAUCCAAAAGUGAGAGUUCAGUAAAAUGGGGAGGCUAAGAUCAUUGAGAGAAUGCUUGGGCUAUCAUCACCAGCAUGCAGAAGGAUGGAACAGCAACAGAGCUCUGGAUCAUAGAUACUUAUGUAUCUCCACAAUCUUUGUGAGCAGGAAGAGGGACCCACACUUGUCCCACAAGAAGAGAAGACUGAGAUGGGAAGGCAAGUGCCUUUGCCCUAAACAACUAAUACUCACAUAGCAUUUAAUGCCAGAUUUGGGCCUUCAUCCCCAAUUUCUCUAUUCUUAGUCAUUUUGCUUCGAGUCUUUGUGUGGGAAGAGGAAGGAUUUUUUUACUCAUGUGUUUAAUGACCUCUUGGCCAGGAACUUGCAAAUAAAAUCAUAUUAACACUACAAA